GUCAGGGAGUUGCUGGGUGGGAUU
rnacentral:piRNA from 1 species